UACGAAGGGGGCUAUCGUUGUUCGGAAUUACUGGGCGUAAAGCGCGCGCAGGCGGCUAUCCAAGUCAGUGGUGAAAGCCCGGAGCUCAACUCCGGAACUGCCAUUGAAACUGUUUAGCUUGAGGAUGAGAGAGGUGAGUGGAAUUCCCAGUGUAGAGGUGAAAUUCGUAGAUAUUGGGAAGAACACCGGUGGCGAAGGCGGCUCACUGGCUCAUUACUGACGCUCAGGCGCGAUAGCGUGGGGAUCAAACAGG
rnacentral:rRNA from 1 species